UUGCUCGAUGAAGAACGGGACGCCCUGCGCGCGGCUGCUGACCGCGUCAACGGUCUGCGGCUCGGGCUCGGCGCCGAGCAGG
rnacentral:tRNA from 1 species